GUCUUGGAUUUUGAUUCUAAUG
rnacentral:snRNA from 1 species